GGGCCUGUGGUCUAGGGGUAUGAUCCUCGAUCCGCACCGUUGCGGCGACUUAUUAUAGGUUGAUUAUUGAGUGGUCCGGGGUUCAAAUCCCCGUAGGUCCA